UUAUCAUCCCCUCCUCCGCCUUGUCUAUGAGCUCAAGUGGGACAGUUCGGCACUUCUGGAACGCUAGCACGGUGCUCACGCUUUAGCACUGUCGUGAAUAUAAAUAUAUGAUUGAUCUGAUCGAGCCGCAUGACAAAGGGGAGACAUCAGAUAUAAUGGUUAAAUAUAGAAGUGUGCGAAGAUUGAACAUUUGGAAUAUCGAAUCGAAUAUCGUCAUACUUGAUUCGGUCUUCGGGAAUAGCCCAUAUGCGUUAAUACGAAUAUUUCAAAAUAUCAUCUAUGCCCAAAUAAACACGAAAUUAGCGUAAAAAUACAAUAAUUUCUACGGUCAUAAGCUAUACGUCGCUUGCAGAGCCAGAAUUCGAUAGUCCGCACACACUGAAGAGUUUUAAAAUUUCUACUUGAUGCUCAGUUUAUGGUUUUCAUGUUAAUUUGUUUUAAUGUUAGAGUACCAACGAUAUUUUGUGUUAACAACGAAAACGGUUCAAUUCAAAUACGAUCCGCUUCUUGCACGCAUUAGCGCUGCCCUAAAAUGUUCAGGCAUGUGCUUCAGUUGAAAUUUCCCGCUCCUUUUUUUUCUCACCCGAAAGAGCUGAUAUAAGCAACACGUGCGUUCCUCCGAAAAAAAAAAAAAAAGUGGUGAGAUCUCUCUCCCAGAAAGAAUGACAAGGCCUGAAAGGAGGAACGAAGAGGGAGGCGGGGCGUGCAGCGGGGCUACCAUAGCGGGGCGCCGGACCCCGCACCUCUCGCGUUUUCUUUUUUUUUCUUUGCCACAGCGCUGGGAAGGGGAGCAAGCUCCAUGCGUCAGUUCCCGCCAAAUUGUAGCUCUUUCGAGCGAGGACGUGCUGACUGAAACACUGCACAGAGACGGGCAAGCACUCAGAGGCAUUUCGUUUGCCUUGAUCCUGGAGGCGGCCUUCUCCCAUUGCCGAGGAUUUGAAGCGAACUCCUGGCAGAUCAGAAAUGUUCAGGCGAACGGCGGUUAUAUUUGUCUGUGGACCCAAGACUUCGCUGACGGGCAAAUAUGUCAGAUUUUCUUGUUUUUUAUUUGUGGCAUCUUAUUGUAAAGCCGUGACAUAUUUUGCCGUUUUCUCUAGGGAACCCUGCAACAAGGACUGUAGUGUGAAUAGCGUGCUGCGCUGCUCUCGCCAACUGAAAAGAACUCUGGUGUGCUGUAAAUGCCGACUGCACAAUAUGUGACUGGCCCGCGGCUGCUUUGAAGUUUGUGCGCUGUGGAGCUUGAAGCACUUCUCGGAAUUUCAGCACACUCGCAUUUAUUUUUUUCCCGACAGAAGAAAAAUGCAAGUCUAACAUCUCGACGGUAAAACGUCGCAUCUGCGCACGUGUUCAGGGCCAAGAGCACGAGAAGUGGCCGAAAGAAGGGAGCCGAUCCAACAGGAAUGCCGUCCGUCUUUAUAUUUAUAUAUGUCAGCGUUAUCAUGCCGUGAUCACAUGGACUGUACGGUUGCGUUGCACAAGGGCUGAUGCAAACGCUCCGUGCGAACAAUGUUGCAUGGAAAAUUAGUGCAUCUAUACAAUUGCAAAAUAAAGAUCUA